UACGGGGGGGGCAAGCGUUGUUCGGAAUUACUGGGCGUAAAGGGCGCGUAGGCGGCCUACUAAGUCGGACGUGAAAUCCCUCGGCUUAACCGAGGAACUGCGUCCGAUACUGGCAGGCUGGAAUCCGGGAGAGGGAUGUGGAAUUCCAGGUGUAGCGGUGAAAUGCGUAGAUAUCUGGAGGAACACCGGUGGCGAAGGCGGCAUCCUGGACCGGUAUUGACGCUGAGGCGCGAAAGCUAGGGGAGCAAACAGG
rnacentral:rRNA from 1 species